GCAGGUCCACUGUACCUUCGUCUCGCUUCAGGACCCCCCUUGGAUGCUCUGAGCCACCCUUCUCAACCCGGAUCUAAAACCUGGGACACGGCUAUCAGGCCAGCCUCUCUCUCCCUCCACCCCUCCCCCUCUUUCUGGCGUCCAUCCCCUCCUCAACACCACCUCUGCUGCUGCCUCUGGCUGUGGACCUGCAUCUCUUCUCCAUCCUCGCCAGGCCCGGAGAGUGGGGUUAGCCUGGAUAAGAGUGUGCCCCUAACCUGGGGCCCUCCCAGGCCAUGGCUCCUGUGUUCCCAGGGAGGAGUCCAGGACCCUGAGCAUCUGCUAGAAGCUUGGCAGAGGCCCCGCUGGGACCGUGUCUUCUGAGGACAAAAGGCUGCGGCCAGCAGGCAGACUGGGUGGGGGGUGGGGGGUGGGGUGGGGGAACCGGUAGCUAGGCAGGCAGAACAGUAGCGGAGCCAGCGCUGGCCCCCUCCCAGACUGGCGGUGGCAUGAAGAUGGGGGUGGGAAUGUGUAAAGGGAGAAGCACCUACCAGGACCCCAACCUGCCCGCUACUUGGGCAACCCAAAGCUGUGUGCUGCCCACCUGGUGUUCCCCAACAUCUCCAGCUCUACCCCUCUGGCACCUGCUUUCCUUGCUGCCAGCGAUUUAGACCAACCAGGCUGUAUCCACGGCAACAGAAGCAAGAGUGUCACUGGCUGCCAGACCAGUGAGGGUCCCACAAUGUGGCCUGGGCUGUGGUUUAUCCUGGAUGAGACAGAAUGAGCCUCCUUCCUGAAUUCCAAGACAGUCCUGCUAGGAGAACCCAGUCUCUAUCUACAGGUAACAUACUUUUGCUCACUCACCCUGGAAGAUGUGUCCCAGCUAGUGGGAGGAAGCUGCUAUAGGAAUAGAGGAAGAUACCCAUAUUGUGUUUGGGACCUCCAGAUCUAUGACACAGUAGCCAGAGGUCCCUGUAUCUGGAGGUGCAGGAAAACCUGGUAUAUGGAGAACAUGGAUUCUACUAGGGACACGGCUCCUAACUACUAGCUCGCAACUUUAGUGGAGGCAUGUCACUUGUUGAACUUUGAUUUUUUUUUUCCAUUUGUCAAAGAGACUGGUAACCUUUUCUUCAUGGAUGUCUGCAGGGAUUAAAUAAAUUGGUGCAUGCAAACAAUUAAAUGUGUUUAUAGGAUGGUGCUGAGCAGUGCCAGGGUCAAUAUUAUUGCUGGCUGUUCAUGAUUAGUAUUGCUAUUGAUUAGGGGAAGGAUUAGCACCUUUUCUCCAGGGUCUCAGCAGAGAUCUAAGGAAGCCAGCAGGUGGGAAGAUGGAAGGUGGCAAGUAGAGGGAAGCAGAAGAGCUUUAUGCUAAUACUUCUCAUUUGUAAAGAAUGAUAGAUAGUUGUGGGCAGUCAUCCCUACCCUACUCGGGAUUCUUUCCAUGCACUUCCCCUUAUUUGUGUACACAGAAACAUACACACACACACACACACACACACACACACACACAGCCCAGACUGAGAGGCAGCAGAGGCCUGGCUUGCAGCCUGCAGAAUUCCUGGCCCUGGUAUGUGUCCCUCUGUUGAGGGGAAAUUAGCUAGAGUUUGGCUUAUGGUCAGUGGUUGGCAGGGACUGGAGACAGAGCUGAGGCUUUUGAGAUUAUAGGGCUUUGAGCGAGCUGGGGUGUGGUCCAUGCAGUGG